AAUGAUCACACACAUAAAAAAAUACCAUGGCACUUCCACGGAAAAUGGACUUUGUCACAUCCAUAACGCCAGUGAAAUGCCUUGGCAUUUGUAUGAUG